rnacentral:lncRNA from 1 species
GCCAAGGUCAUUGUCAGCUCCCUGACGACUAGCAGUCCUUACAGCCUUCAAAGAGGGAAGCAAUCUAAUUUAACCCCAUCCUAAGUACAUAUGUGCUAGGAGCACCACUGAUUAUAAUUUAACCUGGUAAAGCAGGCUGAGUGCUAAUGCCAUUUAAGACAUCUAAAAAUAAAUCAGGAUAUGAUUGAUAACCCAAGUCUUUAUCUCGAAGGCUCUUUAAUUAUCAACCUUUCUCUGUGCUCUAUCAGCACCUUCCACAUGCAAUUAUCAUCUCAUACAGUUGUCACACAUGUCUCCUUGCCUCAGGGGUCUUUCAAGCUCAUGAACCACCAGGGCUGAUUGUCAGUCAUCUUUGUUUCAUCAAUAACCAGUAUAAUAUCUGGCUCUAACAGACCUCCAACAUU